rnacentral:tRNA from 1 species
GGGAGUAUAGCUCAGUGAUAGAGCAAGUAUUUGAUGUGCACAAGGUCCUGGGUUCAAUCCUCAGUGCCUCUG